CUGAAGGAAAAUAAAUCAGGAAAAACAAAGCAAAGAACACAAAAUAAAAGAAGAAUAAAAAAUGGUGGAAAAGAUGGAGUUACAGUUUUACAUAAGGAAAUGGUGCAUGCACACAUAACUGGUGCAAGUGUGAAAGCAAACACAGUAAUUUGUAAUCAUACACCCCACACACACAUCUUCUCCUCCACCUUUUAGAGUCCUGGCAUAUGCAUAAGAGGGAACGGUUAAAGUGCACUUAUUAUUAACAAACUUCAGAGUAACAAAAAGGCAGCCCAAAACUCCAGCAUGCAUGCUAGGAAUUGUGGCAUGUUGAUUGCAUCAUAUAGGGACAUGGUGAUUGUGUGUGCCUCUCCAUGCGCUAUAGUAGUCUGUUUAGGGUGAGGAGGAAAGGGAACUUCAAAUCAUUAUAGCUUUUUAUCUAAACACUUAGCAGUGUUAGCGCUGUAGCAGUCUUAGGCAGCCAGAAAAUGCACGUUCCAGUGCUUCACCCUCAAUAUAGACGUACACCAAAUAACAUUACGUAAGUUAAAAUACAAGAUCCAACGCUCUAAACAGCAAUUAAAGCUCUCGGGAUGUAAUAGAUUUUUUUUGUUUUUGUUUUUUAAACACCUAACCUGGGCAAAAAUAGUGGGGGUAGCUGCACUAUAUGAUCGUACAUUGCACUGCCACAACAUCAACGUAUCCCAUUCUUGGCAGAUCCUAUCCUAGCCAACUAAUGCCUGCUCUUAUGAGAUUAAUCCCCUUACUUAGGAAAUCCUUUCUCCUGGGGCUCUAUGCAGGUCAAGAUUAAAUAGGGCUCUGGAAUGAUGCACCUGUGACAGGGAGGCUUUAUGUCCUACAGGAGUCUCCCCUAAGUCAAGUAAAUAAUGAGCAACAGUUGGUGACAAUGUCCUGUUCUGUAAAGUAAAAUAUGCUUUCCUUAUUUUGAUAUCAAAAGAAAUUAAAAGUAGUCUAAUGUAGAUCACAAACUCUUAAAAUACUGUUUUAAAGAAAUAUUUGCUGAUAUGUGCAAUACUGUGUGUAAGCAAACAAUUUUCCAUUAUAGUCAUUUACAUACAGCAUAUUAUCUCUUUGUAUAUUUUUGCUCAGAGUUCUUUCCCUUAAAUGUUAUGUAGAGAAAGCAGAGGGAUAGUCCCAAGGGGGAGCAGGAAAGAUGAAUAUGGUCAGAAAAUCUUAGAUCUAACAGUAAAUAUGGCCCCUAGGUGACAAGAGACAAUGCCCUAAGCCAGGGGUUCCCAAUUCAUUUCUCUUGUGGAAUCAUUUGACAUAGUGUAUCAACAUCGUGGAACACUCCCAUUAAAAAAAUACAGAAUGCUAUCUGUUUCACUGUAUGCUCUGUGCAUUUUCUUAUUUAUUUUUUUCAAUAUUUUUAUUAUGAGGGAGAGAAAAGUAUAGCAGAUACCAUGGGAAAAAACAAAGUGUGUAGAAUUACAUUUCAGGAAAUAGAUACAUAAACACAGUUUAAGCUGUUUAAAUACUUCUAUCAGUAUUGAGGAUGGACAGUCCCUAUUUUUGGCCCAAAUCCCUCUCUCCCUUUUCUCUAUCCUAAUGUCCCUCUUUUCUAAGAGAUCCAUAUUGUUGGAGUGUCUGAUUGUAUAACAGAGCUCCACAGCAAUAAUAUUCACAGCAAUGUGUCCUAUCCGGCAAUAAAUGUGUUUAGAAUUCAGUCUGUGUAAAUAAGACACAUAGUUCUUGUUCUAAAUUACAUUUUAUUUACAUAAAUUGUCAUUAAUAAGUCACCUAAAAUUUCUCAAAACAGCCUUGCCACUGACCACACCCCCACUCACACCUCUAAAAUUAAAUUGCCCCUCUUUGUCUAUUUGAAAUUUGGAGGGUAUGUGUAUAAAUCACAUGAAGCUUUAUUCAGAACUGAUGCAUGCACGAUCAAAAAAAUAUUUUCCUUGACCUCAUACUCCUGAUUUUAUUUUAAAAUAGUCCAAAACCAUUAUACAAAUUGUGGCAAUAACUGAAACAUUAAUAGAAAACCAGUGCGAGGAAUCGGAGACAGAAAUGAAACAAAUAAAGAACAAUAGUUUGAAAGAGAAUAACCAUCUAGGAAAAGAAAGGAGUGGAAAAAAAUAUCAAAAAUAUAUGUAGUACCAAAGAGAGGAAAAAAUAUAAAAAAUUUUAAAGCUUUUUUUAUCCUACUAAUUAUUUCAAGUAUAUCUUCUUAUUUACUACUUUAAUUAGUCUUCUCCUGCCCCCAUACCAGCAACAUAUAGAAUGUACUUUUCUCCAAAAUGUUUUCCAUACAAUGUACUUUAUAGGCAAUCAAACAGUUUCUUUGUCUUUGUUUUUCUUCUCACAAGUGAUAUAAGCAAACACAAUCUGAACAUAAUGUCUGGAAACAUGUAGGUAAAAAAAGGGAUAGAUGUGCUUUCAACGUAAAUGUACGGGUACAUAAACAUUAAAAUGUGUGAAGUCCACAUUUUAAAACAUCACAACAACACAAGACUAAGGUGCAAUGGCUGCAGUUGGCAACUAAUGCAUUGUUGCUAUAGUGGGUUUGUUUUUUAGCAUACGAGACAUACAACAUUUAUCUGCUCCUUUAAAAAUUAAUGAACAAUCCACCAUAUGUUAGGUUAUAUCCUGCAAAUAAGCAUGAAAACACUCCAGGACUCAUAUAGAAAUAGACAAUGUAUAAAAAAAAAAAAUAUAAGACAUUAGUGAUCCACAUCUUCCAGAUACCAGAUCUACAGUAUCCAUGGCAAGUGACAUAAGGUUUGCCAAAUCUUAUGAAGUGUAGCUUGUUUACUAUUACAUAAUUUACAUCAUUUAGUUUUUCUUUUUUAAUCUAACCGCUUCCUAAUUAAAGGGGCUCUGUGUGCUAAAACUGACCCCUUAUAUGUUAUGUGCAUCUGUUACUUGUUUAUCACUGAUUGCACUUGACUAGUGAUGUCCCGAACGGUUUGCCAUGGACUCAUCAUUGAGUAAACUUUGACCCUGUACCUCACAGUCAGCAGACACAUUCCAGCCAAUCAGCAGCAGACCCUCCCUCCCAGACCCUCCUACCUCCUGGACAGCUCACUAAGAAUGCAGCUUCAAAAUGUAUGCUGUCCAGGAGGUGGGAGGGUCUGCUGCUGAUUGGCUGGAAUGUGUCUGCUGACUGUGAGGUACAGGGUCAAAGUUUACUCAAUGAUGAGUCCGUGGCGAUUUGUUCGGCGAACCGUUCGGGACAUCACUACACUUGACUAAAUGGUUUUGUAAAAGUCUAAACAUAAAUACCUUUUUUUUCCAGACUGCAGAUUUCUGCAUACUAGAAGCACCAGAUCUGCUAGUCUCAUACCUCCCAAGUGUCUCUAUUUAGGAGGAACAGUCCUAAUCUUACGCCAAAACUCCUCUCUCCCUUUUCUAUCCUAAUAAAUCUCCUUUCUAGGUGGAUCAUAUUGUUAGAGUGUCUGAGUGUAUAACAGCACUCCACCCCAAUAAUACUCUCAGUAGUGUGUCUUAAAACUACAAUAAAAGUAUUUUGAAAUCAGUUUGUUCAUAUAAGAUACAUUGUUCUUGUUCCUUAUUACAUUUAAGUUGCAAAAAUUGUUAUUAGUAAGGCACCUAAAAUUUUACAGCCCAGCUCCUGACCACACCACCACUCACACCACUAAAAUUCUAGUGUCCCUCAUUGUCCAUUUGAAAUGUUGGGAGGUAUUAGUCUAUUAUUUCCUCUAUGAAACUCAACAAUUUGUGUCUUCUAGGCAGUCAAAGUAAAUCAGUGAUUCUCUAAGAGAAUCAUUACCGCAUUGGCCACAUUCUGCUUCCUCUUGACAACAACCUCUAUAUCAAUAUCCAAAGAAAUACCACAUUUUCCUUCUCUUGCCUGAUAUGUCAUUGAUGUUUGUCCCAAUACAGUUUCAGCAUAUUUACCAUGUUGCAAUGGGUUAACGCGCAAUAGUAGCGGCAGGGCAAAACUGAAAGCACAUAGAGCCACAAAGGGUUCACUAGUGCAGACCAGAUAUUACGAUCAUAUUACAAUCAUUAGAUUCCCUUAUAGAGACUUAAACUAGACUACAUUACAUAAUACUGAGAGCAGGCACAGUGUGGGGAUUGUACUGCAUUCCGAUAAACUCUUUAAAGGAAACCAGGGAAUCGUGAUAGAACAUUGGGAAAUGUUGUAGGCUGAUUCAGGGAAUGCUAAAUGCAGGCACUUACAGAGCGUGCUGGGCUCUGUGUUUACUGGAGCUUUGAAACAAAGUAAAUUCAAUUAAAAAGAGCCUGUCAUAUGCGUCACUUGCUCCUCUUCUUCCAGUCUGCAGCUCUGCUCACAUUGCUCUCAGUGGCUCAGUAUGUACUGAGUAAUCCAGUAACACAGAGGGGGAGAUAUAUCAAUGGAAAGUGCUAAACAUUGAGAGACAUUCCAUUGGAUACCAUGGUGAUUAUUACUUGUUUAGCUUAUUGAUUUACCCUAGACUAGAACCAAUUUUUCUUUGAUAAAUCUGCCACAAGCCGGCUUAUAUUACAGUAUAUUACAGUAGAAUUAUAAAUGGGGUCAAGGAAAGUGGGUUUUUUUAUGGUGCAUGCUACAGUUCUAAAUCAAAGUCAUGUGUAUCCCUUUAAAUAUAUAUGUUAUGCACUUAUAGACCUGGACCAUUUUUAACGAUACAACAAUUAUUAUUUUAAGAAUUCAAGUAGGUUUUUUUUAUUUAUUUUUUAUUUUAUAUAAGAACUAUACAUUUCUCCAAAUGACCUCCAUCAACAAACCAUUUGGAAAAGACAUAAUAGAUUUAAAAAAAAACAGAGCUCAUAUUUUUUUUUAUCUAUUUACACCAUCAAACCUCAGAUGGUGAUGAUAACCCAUAUCAGAGCUUCUAAUGAAUCAUUUCUGUCUUGGGUAGCCUAUGCAAAUAUAUUAUUUUGUCUAAUAGCAUAACUAUUUAAACAUCUAUACAUCUGUCCUCAUUUUCGGGUUCUCUUUAAAACAAAAAAACUAUUAUUUAUCCAAUUAUCCAGUUAUCCAAUUGUGACCCUUGUGACAAUGUUGUUAAUGUACAACUCACAAUGUUCUUUCUUCUAGCCCCACAAUAUGUGGAGGGCAGCACUUGGAUAUGUAAUAGAAAUGUCCUAAUUUCCUAUUCACUUUUAAAAUGUGUCCAUCUAUGUCAUCCUUCUGGUUAUGGAAUGUAUUUUUGCAGUGGGCCUGAAUUCAAAAUGAGAAAUAGAUCGAAUGUUACGCAAAUUUUUCAGUUUGCAUACAUUCUGCUUCAGAGCAGGAGGUUGGAUAACUUUUCAUUUUUAUUUUUGUUUGGAUACGAAAUCGCAGUGUAACUUGUCGAAUGUAUAGCAGGUUUCUAAAACCUGCUAAGGAGUUAGACAUCGUAAAUAUUCAGGACUGGAUUCCCUAUGAACACCAGGCUGCUGGCCAAAAGCUCCAAUAGAUUAGCCACACCAAACCUUCCCUCUGCCCAACCAAAAUGUUGAAUUGUUUUUUGUGCUUUUGGACGGUGUAACAUGUUGUCUCUAGUUUUAAGUUGGGGACAGGAAAUCUGAAUCUGGGAACAUAGGUCCUGGGGUUAUACAGCCAACUCUGAUCAACGCAAACAUGUCAUACAUAAUAUAGUUGACUCACCAAGUUACUGAGAAACAUGUUUCAAAAAGCUAAUGCUUUCCACUGUAAACUGGACUGACAUCUAAUUUACUCUUUGAUACUAGUUUAUUACACAAAUUCCCUUAUACCUUUUGAAAAAAGGGACAAUAUGGGGAACCUGUUGCACCUAUGUAAUGGUGACUGAUACACGUUUCUGAACGUGGUAAAAAAAAAAAAAAAGCUUUUUUUUUUGGUUAAAAAUUAAAUGAAAUAUGGCAACUUACCUUGCACUUUAUUACUAUACUAAGCGGAAACGGUUGCAGAACAUUUGUUGAUCUUGAUAACAAGUAACCUUAAAAAUACUUUUUGUUUUCUAAAAGAAUAAAAAAGUAGUCAUUUUUUUUUUGUUUUUUUUGGAAUUGAAUGAAAUAUAUCUGUAUUCUGUAAAACCAGAAAGCCUAAAAAAAUACCUUGAUAUUCUGUAUGUUGAUCAAAAGUGCAUUGUAAUGUAAAAUGAUCUGAACCAUUUCUUUCCCAUCUGUCUGAUAACAUUAGCUCAUUGGUGUACAUGAAUGCUUUCCUUUAUGAUAUUAUUAAUAUACAAACACUGUGUCAUUUUACUUUCUCCUUUUUUAUGUUUUGUUAAGAAUUAGACAAGGUGGUUGGCAGCCUGCAUUUUUUUCACCAGUUGACCUAUAAUUCCAUAGCCAGAUCCAGGAAGCUAAAGUUAGUGGGAGAUGCAGUCACACGGGAACUGGAGAUAAGCAGGUUGCUGCCCCGAAACGCAGUAUGAAUAUAUAUAUAUGUAUUUAAAAAAGAAACUGUUAUUUCUUCAGGAGACGGGUUAACCAACUAGAUGUAAGAAGCAGCGAAG